AGUGAACGCUGGCGGUAGGCCUAACACAUGCAAGUCGAACGGCAGCACAGUAAGAGCUUGCUCUUACGGGUGGCGAGUGGCGGACGGGUGAGGAAUACAUCGGAAUCUACUUUUUCGUGGGGGAUAACGUAGGGAAACUUACGCUAAUACCGCAUACGACCUACGGGUGAAAGCAGGGGAUCUUCGGACCUUGCGCGAUUGAAUGAGCCGAUGUCGGAUUAGCUAGUUGGCGGGGUAAAGGCCCACCAAGGCGACGAUCCGUAGUUGGUCUGAGAGGAUGAUCAGCCACACUGGAACUGAGACACGGUCCAGACUCCUACGGGAGGCAGCAGUGGGGAAUAUUGGACAAAGGGCGCAAGCCUGAUCCAGCCAUACCGCGUGGGUGAAGAAGGCCUUCGGGCUGUAAAGCCCUUUUGUUGGGAAAGAAAAGCAGCAGGUUAAUACCCCGCUGUUCUGACGGUACCCAAAGAAUAAGCACCGGCUAACUUCGUG
rnacentral:rRNA from 1 species